rnacentral:rRNA from 2 species
UUAGUAACGGCGAGUGAAGCGGCAACAGCUCAAAUUUGAAAUCUGGCCCUCGGGUCCGAAUUGUAAUUUGUAGAGGAUGAUUUUGGUGCGGUAUCUUCCGAGUUCCUUGGAACAGGACGCCUUAGAGGGUGAGAGCCCCGUACGGUUGAAUGCCUAGCCUCUGUAAAUCUCCUUCGACGAGUCGAGUAGUUUGGGAAUGCUGCUCUAAAUGGGAGGUAAAUUUCUUCUAAAGCUAAAUAUUGGCCAGAGACCGAUAGCGCACAAGUAGAGUGAUCGAAAGAUGAAAAGCACUUUGAAAAGAGGGUUAAAUAGCACGUGAAAUUGUUGAAAGGGAAGGAUUUGUGACCAGACUUUUUCUGGGCGGAUCAUCCGGGGUUCUCUCCGGUGCACUUUGCCCAGUAAAGGCCAGCAUCGAUUUUCGGCGGCGGAUAAAAGCAGUGGGAAUGUGGCUCCCCUCGGGGAGUGUUAUAGCCCAUUGUAUAAUACGCUGCUGGGGAUCGAGGUACGCGCUUCUGCAAGGAUGCUGGCGUAAUGGUUAUCAAUCACCCGUCUUGAAACACGGACCAAGGAGUCGAACAUUUAUGCGAGUGUUUGGGUGUUAAACCCUCACGCGUAAUGAAAGUGAACGGAGGUGAGAGCCCGUACGGGUGCAUCAUCGACCGAUCCUGAAGUUUUCGGAUGGAUUUGAGUAAGAGCAUAACUGUUCGGACCCGAAAGAUGGUGAACUAUGCGUGGAUAGGGUGAAGCCAGAGGAAACUCUGGUGGAGGCUCGCAGCGGUUCUGACGUGCAAAUCGAUCGUCAAAUCUGCGCAU